CAGAAAUCCAUAUGUACGUGCAUACAUACAUACUUAAACACACGCGCAAACAUACAUACUGUAGGUAUGCACACACACACAAUUUCCGCCAUUGUUUCACGUUUAGAAGAGAUGAGGAGAGAGGGAAGCAAAAAGGUGAGAAUAGGAGGGAAAAGUAGAAGCGACAAGAGGAGCAGGCGAAGAGGAGUAGACAGAGAGAGACUGUAGGAGACCGAGCAAUAAUUAGGUACACAGUGCUCUGAGCAUUUCCUGAGAGACGGAGAGAGAGAGAGAACGGGAGAGAGAGAGCGACAGCGAGAGAGAGAGCGACAGAGAGAGAGAGAUAGAGAGAGAUAUAGAGAGUGUUACCGGCCAGACAUGGUGUACUCAUCUCUGGAAUCUCUCGUUGAGGAACAUGACCUGAUUGUGAGUGCACGCACGUGUGUCUGUGUGCGUGUGUGUGUGUGUGUGUGUGUGUGUGUGUGUGUGUGUGUGUGUGCAUGCAGGUGGCUGUGUGUAUUAAAAGGAGCAAGACACCGAUUCUGAGCCAAGAUUAAAGGCCUGGCGGUGUCCCAUCCAACCCAUUGUGCCAGACGGUCCAGCAGUCGAGAGGCAAAAUCACCCCACAGUGUUUCCGGGGAGGAAAUCACAGGGUAACCGGCCUCGGCUCAGCCACGGAGGCAUGCAUACUAAGCACCCCCCCCCCCCCCCCCCCCCCCCACCGGCACACACACACACUCACACUCACACAUACACAGUCUGGCACAGUCACAGGUGUGUGACAGAUGCCUUUAUUUGUUAUCUUGUGCCGUUGUGCUAUGUUGCGAGGUACAAAAUUGUCAUUUUUUAUGUGAAAGGGUUGUGUGUGUGUGUGUGUGUGUGUGUGUGUGUGUGUGUGUGUGUGUGUGUGUGUGUGUGUGUGUGUGUUGUGUGUGUGUGUGUGUGUGUGUGUGUGUGUGUGUGUGUGUGUGUGCGUGCGUGCGUGCGUGCGUGCGUGUGUGUGUCUGGGCGGUUUACAGUCUGGCUGUGCAGUUGCAAUUAGUAUGCUCUGUUGUCAGCAAACUAGUUAGCACAGUUGUUGUUGCUGCUGGUGAGGCUGUGUGAAAUGUACUCACCGCAACAGAGCUGAGCCCAGAAGGCGAUGAUUGAGGACAUAAAGUUGUCUUCCCCAAUGUCUGCCUUGGCCAGAGCCAUACAUCUCUCAACCCAGACAUCUCCCUGUCUGCAAGCAUGCAUUAUAACUUUACGAUGAUUAUAUAGCUGACAUGUAUGUAUGUUUGGUAUGAGUGAUACUCACUCACUCGUUCACAGACACACACACACACACACAAAACCACAUAAAGACAACCUCAGACACAGACACAAAUGUGCAGGCAUAAGCCUGAACAACAAACAAACAUUAAUGAACUCUCACACAAACGCAAACCCGCACACAAACACACACACACACACACACACACACACACACACACACACACACACACACACACACACACACACACACACACACACACACACACACACACACACACGUGUGGGGGGAGGCGGGUGUGAGCGUCUGCUUGCUGUAUCAGUGAGUUGAGCUGUGUUUCCUACAGGAAGUCAGCUCUCCUGCCAGGGAGGGAUGAGUCCAGCCCCUCCCAGCAGGGCCAUCCAUCUGAGCUCGCCGUGCA
ensembl:lncRNA